rnacentral:rRNA from 1 species
UCGCCUGUUUUACAAAAACAUAGUUUUAUGAGAUUUAUAUAAAAUAACUUCUGCCCAGUGUCUAAAAUGAUAAAUGGCCGCAGUACCUUGACUGUGCUAAGGUAGCAUAAUCAAUUGGCUUUUAAUUGAAGUCUAGAAUGAAUGGGAAAAUGGAAUUUAGCUGUCUUAAAUUUUUUAAUUAAAAUUUAUUUAUAAGGUGAAAAUACCUUAAAAUUAGAAUAAAGACGAGAAGACCCUAUGAAUUUUUUUUAAUGUAUUUUUGUUGGGGCGACAGUUUAAAAAAAUAAUCUUAAAUUUUUUAAUAUAACGAUUUUUUUAAUAAAAAUUAAAUUACCUUAGGGAUAACAGCAUUAUUAUUUAAAUAGUUUGUGACCUCGAUGUUGGACUAGGAACUAAAAGGCUAACCGUCUUUAUAGAUUUGUUCUGUUCGAACAGUUUAAUCCUACGUGAUCUGAUUCCAAACCGGA